rnacentral:rRNA from 1 species
UACGUAGGGGGCAAGCGUUGUCCGGAAUCAUUGGGCGUAAAGCGCGCGUAGGCGGCCCGGUAAGUCCGCUGUAAAAGUCCAGGGCUCAACCCUGGAAAGCCGGUGGAUACUGUCGGGCUAGAGUCCGGAAGAGGCGAGUGGAAUUCCUGGUGUAGCGGUGGAAUGCGCAGAUAUCAAGAGGAACACCUGCGGCGAAGGCGGGUUGCUGGGCCGACACUGACGCUGAGGCGCGAAAGCUAGGGGAGCGAACGGG